UGGUCAGUCAAUGUCCCAGCUCGGAGAGCCGUAAUACUGCUUGUUUGUUUGGAGAGCCAUGCGGCUGUUGCUUUGUUUGGUGGCCGUGAAGCUGCUUGUUUGUUUGGAGAGUCGUAAGGUUGCUGGUAGGUUUGGAGAGCCAUGAUGCUGCUGGUUUGUUUGGUGGUCAUGAGGUUGCUGGUAGGUUUGGUGGCCGUGAGGCUGCUGGUUUGUUUGGUGGCCGUGAGGCUGCUGGUUUGUUUGGUGGCCGUGAGGCUGCUGGUUUGUUUGGUGGCCGUGAGGUUGCUGGUUUGUUUGGUGGCCGUGAGGCAGCUGUUUUAUUUGGUGGCCGUGCUGAUGUUGGUUUGUUUGGAGAGCCUUGAGGCUGCUUAUCUGUUUGGUGGCCG
rnacentral:lncRNA from 1 species